GAUGACGCUGGCGGCAGGCCUACACAUGCAAGUCGAGCGGUAACAUUUCUAGCUUGCUAGAAGAUGACGAGCGGCGGACGGGUGAGUAAUGCUUGGGAACAUGCCUUGAGGUGGGGGACAACCAUUGGAAACGAUGGCUAAUACCGCAUAAUGUCUACGGACCAAAGGGGGCUUCGGCUCUCGCCUUUAGAUUGGCCCAAGUGGGAUUAGCUAGUUGGUGAGGUAAAGGCUCACCAAGGCGACGAUCCCUAGCUGGUUUGAGAGGAUGAUCAGCCACACUGGAACUGAGACACGGUCCAGACUCCUACGGGAGGCAGCAGUGGGGAAUAUUGCACAAUGGGCGCAAGCCUGAUGCAGCCAUGCCGCGUGUGUGAAGAAGGCCUUCGGGUUGUAAAGCACUUUCAGUCAGGAGGAAAGGUUAGUAGUUAAUACCUGCUAGCUGUGACGUUACUGACAGAAGAAGCACCGGCUAACUCCGUGCCAGCAGCCGCGGUAAUACGGAGGGGUGCGAGCGUUAAUCGGAAUUACUGGGCGUAAAGCGUACGCAGGCGGUUUGUUAAGCGAGAUGUGAAAGCCCCGGGCUUAACCUGGGAACUGCAUUUCGAACUGGCAAACUAAAGUGUGAUAGGGGUGGUAGAAUUUC
rnacentral:rRNA from 2 species